UUGCUCUUAUCCAUAAUAAUCUCGAUAAUGUAGACAAUGUUUUACGACCCUGUGAGAAUUAUGUAUUUCUUGCAGUGAAAGUAUACAACAAAUGUUAAUUUUGUCUCAGGAACAGAAGUGGAAAAUAUCUAAUAUUUAUUUUUGUCAGCAUCUCUUGAGAAAAUGUGAAUGAGUAUCAUUGACACUUAUGUAAGUAGACAGUAUUUUUGAACCACAUAAAAUAUGCACCCAAGACCAACUGAAAUCUUUUUCAGAAUCAUGUUUCUUCAUUUUCUCAGCUUUUAAUUUCCUUAAAACCCGUCAAACUGAUGACAUUUGGACAUUUUGCACAGGACCAAUCGUUUCACUGUUUUGGAGUUAAUGCCUUUUCUCCCCUGUCCCUAAACGAAACCUGUGUUAGAUUACUAAGGCAUUAAUUAUAUCAAUGUAUUUAGUCUUCUGGUGCAACAAAUUAUGACAGAAGAGAAGCUGCAUGUAUCAAGCUAUAGUUGACAAACAAAUGAUCCACCAAAUGUCAAAUUAUAAUAUGGCCUACCAAAUGUUGGAAAUCAGGGGUGAAAGUAGCCAGUAGGGAAUUAUAGUAGGCUAAAUUAUUUAGGUGGAUUGAACAGGUAGUCUACUUUAUGAAGUGAUUUGUUUGACAAUCAGAUGAAAACAUCAUCACACAACAUCCAUGAUAUGUGAAACUGAGCCUGCACAGACCGCAAAAACAUCCGCAAAAAACAACAUUAAAAUGGGAUAAGAUGUUUACAUGCCAUAAGAUCAGCAUAUCCCAAGCCUCUUAUCCGGGUUUGUCAUAACCAAGAUACAAGAUGUUUUUUUCCUGGUUAUUGUAAACGGGAUAUGAUGUUUAAAUGCAUUAACUCAAAAACAGAAUACUUGAGUAGCCUAUCCCCAAUCAUAAGGGGAUAUUGGUGUGCAUGUGGUCACUGUGGGAGGACCACAUAACAAAUCAUCGUGUGACUCCAAGUUCACUUCUAUGUGGUGGUUAUUAUAUCAAUAUUUGCACAUCGAGGCGUUUUCACAACCAUUUCUCGCAGAAUUGACAAGGUGAGAUCUUUUUUUGUCGGUAGAAACGCUUUUAUGCACAAAUAUUGAGAUAUAUAACCAUCAUGCGCUGGUCAUCCCCAAAGCCAACACUUACUUUGGUCUCCUUUCCUACCAGUUCUCUGCUGACAAUGACAGGAACGAAUUGCAAAAAUCUCUGAAGCUGGAGUCUUAUCUCUUUCUAACUUUAAGCAUCAGCUGUCAGAGCAGCUUACCGAUCACUGUACCUGUUGUGGCGUACAGCAUGUCAGCCACCAGGGGGAGACUCGUCGAGGCCUGGUGACAGACCUGCUGUACGCCACAACAGAUACAGUGAAAAAAGAGCGGGGGGAGAAAGGACUCCAGUAUAGUUGGGGACGAUUGCAGAGGUAUGAGGGAGUUCAGUUUUUGUGCCGACAGGCAUAGGCGGAAAUCCCAGGGGGGACGGGGGGGACACGACCCCCCCAUCCUGGGGAAAAUAUGAUUUGUCCCCCCCACUAUAUCACUGUAAACAUAACUAUGUAAUUUCAAUAAUAUUAAUAAUACGCAAUGAAAGCACUUGUACUGAUUAUAGACACUUAAUAGCGCGUUUUUAAAUUUCACAAGAUUGCGACCCCCCCGCCCUUUGCCUCACAAUGGUUUGAUCCACUGCCAGUUCUUUAGCUGGCAAGGUAAUAGAGGGCUCGUAUCUACUGUCCGAAAGGCACUCAAUGUACGUAACUGACGUGAGGUAAUCCAGUCAAUCGCGCCUUAGCAAUGUAUAUAUUUUUUUCAUGUUGCAGGGUUCACACACUAGCUGAAUUUGCAGAGCUAGCGCGCAAACUAAAGCAAACAUUAACUAUCAAGCUAGCUAGUACCUAUUCCAUUUAUGUGGCGUCGUCAAAGAUGGAAUAUUUGCUAUCGUCAGUUUAUUCCAAGAUUAGCAUGCAGCUGUAGUGCUUCAAAGUCCGUGUGAUAAGGUUAGCGAUAAACUGAAGUCCAAACUGAACAAAACUACACUCUCUUAUACCAUUGUCUUAAAUAUAUUUAAUGGUCUCGUUGCAAAAGCUAAAUUGUCGCUAGUGAAUUUUUUAUUUUUUUCACCUUUAACCAGGUAGCAAAGAUUAUAGCAAACACCACAGAAACGGAAUUGGUGCUCGCUAGCUUUGCAAAUUCAGCUAUUGUUAGUUUGUUUCAUAUUGGCAGGCUUCUAUGUUAAAAUUUCAAAACGUUGCAGCAUGUGUUGUGUAAAUGUGUGUGCAGCUAGACCGGUCAGCCAGCCAGCCAGGUAGAAAAAUGUCAGAAAAAAGUAAAAAGACGGACAUCAGAGUAUUUUUCAGUACACCAAAACGCAAAGUAAGAACUCUAGUAGCCUAAUAUCUCAAAGACCAGUUGAUAAAAUGUUCAUAAGAAAGAAGUGAAAUGCUAAUGGAAAUAUUUCACAAUGAUGUCAUUAGGCAGAGCAGGCAACAGAUGGCACACAGACAGCAGAGCUGGGGACAGAUAUGCAGGGACAGACUGGCAGAGACAGGGAGUCUCAGGAGACAGACUGUGAGUCAGUGAGGGUGGUGAAAGGGAAAGAGCCAAGGAGAGAGACUUGAGGACAUUGUCACAGCCACGGCAGGACCAGGUGUCACCCUUGUUGCCAGCAGCACCAGUAUAGGGGACAGUGGCACAGCAUCGUCCAGUUACCUCAGUGAUGACACAAAACCAUAUCAGCCACACCCACAAUUUAUAGAACCGCAAACUCUUGCAAACGUUUCAAGAGAGAGGAACACUGCACUGAUAAGGAACAUUGCUAUAACUAUUAUUAGUAGUAGUAUUAUAAUGAUUUAAACAAGUUGGGACAACCCUUCAGUUAACUACUGUACCUAACAAUUAUCCAGUAGUAGUGAUUAUGGUCCCUCAAUAUACAUUUAACAUAUUACAACAUAGUCUAUGUGUUACAGCACUACUUUUGGUGUCCCCCUCAGGAAUUGCUCCUGAGAAAAUUUCAUGUAAUUGUCCCCUCCAAGGUUGAUAUCAGAUUUUCGCCCCUGCCGACAGGAUACAGCAAGACCCGGAGCCCAGAAGACGUUAUCCCGGAGAGGUCUCCCCUAUUAGACCCUAUCCUUUUCUUUUUGAUUGAUUAUUUAAACACCCUUGAAACCGAGCUAAGUGUACUCUGUCCGUGUCUGAUCUGUGUAAACGUCUUGACCAAACCCCCUGGUCUGCCACACUGUACACAGCCAAUCUGUAAAUAGCACACCCGACUACCUCAUCCCCAUAUUAUUACUUAACCUCUUGCUCUUUUGCUCCCUACUCUUCUACAUUUGCAUACACUGUACAUAGAUCUUUCUAUUUUUAUUUUGUGUUAUUGACUAUGUUUAUGUGUAACUCUGUUGUUUGUGUCACACUGCUAUGCUUCAUCUUGGCCAGGUCACAGUUGUAAAUGAGAACUUGUUCUCAACUGGCUUGCCUGGUUAAAUAAAGGUGAAAUAAAAAAAUCA